UGGCACCUGUGUUCUGGCCACUUUUUCUCCAAAUCUUCUGCUUCUUUGUCCUGCAUUCCUUCCAUGGAGACCCCACCCUGCAUCCAGAGGACAUUUCUGGGGCCCCUUGCUUCACCUGGCAUGAUCCCAGCUCCUCACCAUUGUCUAAGCUAUGCCCUCUGCUAGUAUGCCCUCCCUCCUGCACCUGGGGCCAUUCACUCCUGCACCGCCCAAGCACCGAGGGACUGCUUGGCAAGGAAACAGGCAGAAUGGAAGAUCCGUGAGGUCAAGAACUGUGUUUUGUGCACUGCUGCAUCCCCGCUUCUUAGAGGAACAUGUGCCAUAUCGAUGUUUAAUGAAUAAACAAAGGAAUGCAAUACAAGAUGACAUAACAUGGGCCUAAUGAACCCAUCCAAACUGCGGGAGAAGAUGCAGGGACACAUCUUACAUGGUGCGUAGAGGUGGUUCUUCUCUCUCUGCCGCUGGGGAUGAACAAUAAACAACCGGCCUCAGCUGCAAAGGGAAGCAGUGCUGAGGGCAAAAUGAACAUUGACAAGAAGGCCAAAAAUCAUGACGAAAUGGGCGGCAACUGGUCACCCCAUGCCUGGGCUCACACUUCCUCCUGAUUUCCUGCCCAGAAGUGUGCUUAUUUAUCAGGUCACUUUAACUCAGAAACCCACUGACAUGUUCAAAGCUCUAAGAUUUAGGGUGAUCUAAUGGUUUUCUUUUUUCAAUCCUCCAAGACAUCUGAAUAACUUUCUUCUUGACAAAGUGUCACUUCCAUAUUUCCGGCACUAAACUUGUGGGAUUUUAAAGAUAAAACCAGAAAAAAAUAUUGACAAGAAAGAAGCAAUUUCUAUUCCCGGGUUUCUUCAGGGUCUUUCUGUUUGGAAGCAGCUGUGUAGAAGGGCUGGGCUGGCUGUUAACUUCAUCACGCUGGUUUCAGAGCACUGACCUCACUGUUGACUUUGGAACAUGUUCUAGGCUCUGAAAAGAAAAGAGAGUCUCCACCAAGUAACUCCAUGGGAUUAAAAGCAACUACAAGCAAUAGUUUCCUUUGAAGCUCAGCUCUGAAGAGAACCCAUUCAUUUCAUAAUCAAAUUAGAUCAGAGGGUGAGAAGGCAGCCCAGCAGAAGGUCCUCAUGAGAUCUCCCAGCCCUUGGAUCUGAGGAAUAACUGAGGAAGAGUUGGUCUUAAGAGAAGAGAUAUUAGCCGGGUGGGGUAGCUCACGCCUGCAAUCCCAGCACUUUGGGAAGCUGAGGCAGGUGGAUCACCUGAGGUCAGGAAUUCCAGACUAGCCUGGCUAACAUUGUGAAACCCCAUCUCUAUUAAAAAUAAAAAAUUAGCUGACCGUGGUAGCAGGUGCCUGUAAUCCCAGCUACUCAGGAGGCUGAGGCAGGAGAAUUGCUUGAACCCAAGAGGGGAAGUUUGCAGUGAGCCAAGAUGGCGCCAUUGCACUCCAGCCUGGGGGACAAGAACAAGAUUUCAUCUAAAAAAAAAAAAGAAAAAAAAGAAGAGGCAUCAUCUUUAGCAAACUAACACAGUAACAGAAAACCAACUACCACAUUUUCUUACUUAUAACUAGGAGCUAAAUGAUGAGAAGUCAUGGACACAAAGAGCGGAACAACAGACACUGGGGCCUACUUGACAAUGGAGGGUGGGAGGAGGGAGAUCAGAAAACUUAACUAUUGGGUACUAGGCUUAGUGCCUCGGUGAUGAAAUAAUCUGCACAACACACCCCAUGAUAUGAAUUUACCUAUCUAACAAAAAUUCACAUGUACCCCUGAACCUAAAAGUUAAAAAAAAAAAUUAAAGUUGAAAACAUUAAAAAUAAAAUUAAAAAAAA
rnacentral:lncRNA from 1 species